CCCCUUUCAGGAUCGCAACUGGAGAGUUUCCAGUACUCUGCCAGUCUUGGCUAUGGGAGGGAGAGUCAAGUAGAGACAGACCCAUUCCAUUCCUAGAUUGGACAGUGACUAGCGAGUGGACGGCAAUCUGCUACAAGU